rnacentral:lncRNA from 1 species
AUACUCUGGUUUCUCUUCAGAUCGCAUAAAUCUUUCGCCUUUUACUAAAGAUUUCCGUGGAGAGGAACAAUUCUGAGUCUUAGAUCAAUUUUUUGAGGCCUUAUUUUAAACUAAGGCUACAUUUAACUAUGUGGAAAAAUAGAAUUUUAAAUUGUUGGAGUAUUGUCUUAAGCAAGCAACAAACUUGAAACUCAACUACUAGAGCUGUUUGCUUUAAAACCGAGAUUUUGAAAAAUAGUUUGAGGAUAAGCGGUGGCUUUUUUUUCCGGAUUACUAUGGACUGAGACCUCUGAAACCCAAGCCAAAAUCAACGUCUCCUCCUCUAGAUUAUUUCUACGCGUGUCUGAUCACAGCAAAGAGAAGCUGGGACAGUGAGCCUGAGGGCAGAGCCUGAGCAGACUGAAGCAGCCCCCACCCCUCCUGGGAAGCGGGCCCACUGAAACUUGCAGACCUGGGACAGAUGAAAGACCAGAGGAUGUGGCUGGGGAAGAGGUCAGGACGUGCAGGUUCUCAUCCUGCAAUGCCACCCACUGGCUUUGUUACCUCUACAGCCCAAGCCUAGGACCCUCUAGGGGCAAGGGUUCCCUGUCUGUUGGGUGAUUUAGGUAAUCUCCAGAUUUCCCCCAGGCUCUGACAGUGCAAGAUGCUCAACUCUGGGCUUAGGGAGUGGAGGAGAUAGGAGUGUGAGCAAAUGAGACAGCACAACCUGUGGUAAGAGCUGCCCUGCCUUUGGUUAGGAGGCUGAGCCAGGUUCCCAUUUGCUAAUAUUUCAUCGGUUUUUUGUUUGUUUUGCAGUACUGGGGAUGGAACCCAGGGCCUUGCCACUGAGCUUCAUCCCCACUCCUUUUUAUUUGAAACAGGGUCUGAGGUGCCCAGGCUUAGUUGAACUUGGGAUCCACCUGCCUCAGCCUCCUGAGUCUCAUAUUACAGGUAUGCACCACACAAACCUACCUUAAUCAUCUUCCAGUAAGUGCCACAGAUACUGGAGACAGGCACUUGUCACCAACUGGGCAGUGGGGUGUGGCAGCGGCAGGCAGACAACAGGCCUGCCUUGGUACUGGCGUCUGUGGGGAAGCUGCUAACGAAUACCUGUGUCCCCACCAUUCACCACUGAGACGGGUACAGGCCCAGCUAAAAAAGGUUGAAAGGGUGAAUGGGUGCCUGACUGGGCAGGUGACAGCAGCAUGGACAGGUGGGCAGAGGGGGAGGGAGAGAGGCAGGUGUCUCUCCCGCCACAAGAGUUACUGGAGAUGAAGGUGCCUUGUGGGACAAACUUGUGCAGCCAUGUGACCAUACUCGAGGGACUUCACUUCCCCAUGCCUCAGUCACAUCAUCUGUAAAACAGGCACAAUGGUAGUGGUGUCUAUGCACAGGCGUGUUAGGUGCUGUCACUGGGAGAACAUUUCACAGCACGGACAUCAGGCACCUGGGGCUGAAGCAAAACAGGCUCUCUGUGAAGACACCCGUGGGAAUAGGAAAAGAUAGGGUCUCAUUAUCCAGUUCAAGCUGCCUUUGAACUCACUAUGUACCUGACGCUGGCCUCACAGCAAUCCUCCUGCCUCAGUCUCCCCAGUGCUGAAAUUAUAGGUAUGCACCACCAUGCCUGAGGACUUAAAAGUUUUUUAAACUUAAUCUGUUAGAGUAGAUAAUACAUCCACCGGACAAGAAAAGUGGAAAUCACUCAAGUAGGCGGGUCCUGGCUGACCUCGCACCCUCCUGUGCCUACCACCCACCAGCUGUGAGCCCCAGGAAAGGCUGGCAGCGCUGAUAGACCUGAGAGGGCCAGGGAGAGGCCAUGGGAGCAGAAAGGAGACCCCGACCAGGGGAAAGUGAGAAGAUGG